rnacentral:rRNA from 1 species
AUACCGGAUAAGACCACAACUCCGCAUGAAGUUGCGGUAAAACGGUUGGGAUCUUCGGACCUUCCGCCCGUGGAUGGGAUCGCGUCCUAUUAGCUUGUUGGUGAGGUAACGGCUCACCAAGGCAGUGAUGGGUAGCCGGCCUGAGAGGGUGAUCGGCCACACUGGGACUGAGACACGGCCCAGACUCCUACGGGAGGCAGCAGUGCUGAAUCAUUCGCCAAUGCGCGAAAGCGUGACGGUGCGACGCCGCGUGCAGGAUGAAGGCCUUCGGGUUGUAAACUGCUGUCAGGAUUCAGGAAACCGCGGUCGUGAAUAGCGGCCGCGCUGACCCGAUCCAAAGGAAGCACAGGCUAAUCUCGUGCCAGCAGCCGCGGUAAGACGAGAUGUGCGAGCGUUGUUCGGAAUUACUGGGCAUAAAGGGUGCGUAGGCGGUUUGGCAAGUCGGGUGUGAAAUCCCUCGGCUCAACCGAGGAAUUGCAUCCGAUACUACCAGGCUUGAGAACGAAAGGGGCAAGCGGAAUUCCGGGUGUAGCGGUGGAAUGCGUAGAUAUCCGGGAAAACGCCGAAGGCGAAGGCAGCUUGCUGGGUUGUUUCUGACGCUGAGGCACGAAAAGCUAGGGGAGCGAACAGGAUUAGAUACCCUGGUAGUCCUAGCUGUA